rnacentral:rRNA from 1 species
GACGAACGCUGGCGGCGUGCUUAACACAUGCAAGUGGAGCGACGAACCAGGCUUCGGCCUGGGGCAGAGCCGCGAACGGGUGAGUAACACGUGGGUAACCUGCCUCGAUGACCGGGACAACUCGGGGAAACCCGAGCUAAUACCGGAUGUGCUCUCUUCACCCAAGUGAAGAAUGGAAAGGAAGCUUCGGCCUCCGCAUCGAGAUGGGCCCGCGGCCCAUUAGCUUGUUGGUGAGGUAACGGCUCACCAAGGCCGCGAUGGGUAGCUGGUCUGAGAGGACGAUCAGCCACACUGGGACUGAGACACGGCCCAGACUCCUACGGGAGGCAGCAGUGGGGAAUCUUGCGCAAUGCGCGAAAGCGUGACGCAGCAACGCCGCGUGGGGGAAGAAGGCCUUCGGGUUGUAAACCCCUUUCAGGAGGGACGAAGCCCGGGCGGUGAAUAGCCGACCCUGGUGACGGUACCUCCAGAAGAAGCCCCGGCUAACUACGUGCCAGCAGCCGC